UACGAAGGGGGCUAGCGUUGUUCGGAAUCACUGGGCGUAAAGCGCACGUAGGCGGAUUCUUAAGUCAGGGGUGAAAUCCCGAGGCUCAACCUCGGAACCGCCUUUGAUACUGGGGAUCUCGAGUCCGGGAGAGGUGAGUGGAAUUGCGAGUGUAGAGGUGAAAUUCGUAGAUAUUCGCAAGAACACCAGUGGCGAAGGCGGCUCACUGGCCCGGUACUGACGCUGAGGUGCGAAAGCGUGGGGAGCAAACAGG
rnacentral:rRNA from 1 species